rnacentral:sRNA from 1 species
AAUCUUACCUUUUGACACCUGCAGUAUGUAACGAUAGCGCACGGCUCAUUCCCUAUGAGCCAUUCCCCUAAGCCCGGAACAAUGCGGAUUGGUUCCGGGCUUCUUUUA